UACAGAGGUCUCAAGCGUUGUUCGGAUUCAUUGGGCGUAAAGGGUGCGUAGGCCGCACGGUAAGUCAGACGUGAAAUCCCUCAGCUUAACUGGGGAACUGCGUCUGAGACUGAUUGGCUCGAGGACAGGAGAGGAACGCGGAAUUCCAGGUGUAGCGGUGAAAUGCGUAGAUAUCUGGAGGAACACCGGUGGCGAAGGCGGCGUUCUGGACUGUUUCUGACACUGAAUAACGAAAGCCAGGGGAGCAAACGGG
rnacentral:rRNA from 1 species